rnacentral:rRNA from 1 species
UGGGGAAUAUUGCACAAUGGGCGAAAGCCUGAUGCAGCAACGCCGCGUGAGCGAUGAAGGCCUUCGGGUCGUAAAGCUCUGUCCUCAAGGAAGAUAAUGGCGGUACUUGAGGAGGAAGCCCCGGCUAACUACGUGCCAGCAGCCGCGGUAAUACGUAGGGGGCUAGCGUUAUCCGGAAUUACUGGGCGUAAAGGGUGCGUAGGUGGUUUCUUAAGUCAGAGGUGAAAGGCUACGGCUCAACCGUAGUAAGCCUUUGAAACUGAGAAACUUGAGUGCAGGAGAGGAGAGUAGAAUUCCUAGUGUAGCGGUGAAAUGCGUAGAUAUUGGGAGGAACACCGGUGGCGAAGGCGGCUUGCUGGGCUGCAACUGACGCUGAAGCACGAAAGUGUGGGGAGCAAACA